UCCCACAACAUAUGGGAAUUAUUUGGGUGGGGACACAGCCAAACCAUCUCAUUUACAUUGUCAGUAAAUGGCAGAGUUAGAUUAAAAAUCUAGGCAUCCCCUUUUUUUUGCCCGACAUCUUAGCAAGGCUGCGGUGUCCUCUGCUGCUCUCAGAGCUUGGCAAUGCCGCCCAAAGACGACAAGAAGAAGAAAGACGCCGGAAAGUCGGCUAAGAAAGACAAAGACCCGGUGAACAAAUCCGGGGGCCAGGCCAAAAAGAAGAAGUGGUCCAAAGGCAAAAUUCGGGACAAGUUCAAUAACUUAGUCUUGUUUGACAAAGCCACCUAUGACAAACUCUGUAAGGAAGUUCCCAACUAUAAACUUAUAAUCCCAGCUGUGGUCUCUGAGAGACUGAAGAUUCGAGGCUCCCUGGUCAGGGCAGCCCUUUAGGAGCUCCUUAGUAAAGGACAUAUCAAACUGGUUUCAAAGCACAGAGUUCAAGUAAUUUACACCAGAAAUACCAAGGGCGGAGAUGCUCCAGCUGCUGGUGAAGAUGCAUGAAUAGGUCCAACCAACUGAACAUUUGGAAAAAUAAAACUUUAUUAAAUUAAAA